GACGAACGCUGGCGGCGUGCUUAACACAUGCAAGUCGAACGGUAAGGCCUUCGGGUACACGAGUGGCGAACGGGUGAGUAACACGUGGGUGAUCUGCCCUGCACUUCGGGAUAAGCCUGGGAAACUGGGUCUAAUACCGGAUAGGACUCCUGGCUUCACGGUUGGGGGGGGAAAGCUUUUGCGGUGUGGGAUGGGCCCGCGGCCUAUCAGCUUGUUGGUGGGGGAAUGGCCUACCAAGGCGACGACGGGUAGCAGGCCUGAGAGGGUGUCCGGCCACACCGGGACUGAGAUACGGCCCAGACUCCUACGGGAGGCAGCAGUGGGGAACAUUGCACAAUGGGCGCAAGCCUGAUGCAGCGACGCCGCGUGGGGGAUGACGGCCUUCGGGUUGUAAACCUCUUUCAGUGGGGACGAAGCGUAAGUGACGGUACCUACAGAAGAAGCACCGGCCAACUACGUGCCAGCCGCCGCCGUAACAC
rnacentral:rRNA from 1 species